ensembl:snRNA U6 U6 spliceosomal RNA
GUGCCCACUUCGGCAGCACAUAUACUAAAACUGGAACGAUACAGAGAAGCCCCUGCGCAAGGAUGACACGCAAAUUCUUGAAGCAUUCCAUGUUUUU